rnacentral:misc_RNA from 1 species
CCGAGUUUACAACUCCCAAACCCCUGUGAACAUACCUUACUUGUUGCCUCGGCGCGGCUCAGCCCCGGGCCUCCCGGUAAACGAGGAGCAGGCCCGCCAGCGGCCACCUAAACUCUUGUUUCUAUACUGUAAACUCUGAGUAAACCAUAAAUAAAUCA